UGAGCUGCAGGGAGCCAGGAAGGUGGGCAGGGAAGGCAGGCAGCUCGCAGAGACCCUAGGCCAAGGCUGCCCGCUCCCCAGCCCAUGAUGGGGCAGAGCCGGAGGUGGGGGCAAUCGCGGGCCCAUGAGGCGAGCCCCAUUUCCAGGCUUGGAAUGCAGGCAGCAUUCAUUGAUCCAUUCAUGCAGUCAGCCUUUGAGGAGGAGCAGCUGCUAAAGAACUUGGGAGCCAGACCCAGCACGGUGGCACAUGCCUGUCUUCUAGCACUCUGAGAGGCUGAGGCAGGAGGAUCUCAAGUUCAAGCCCAGCCUGGGCAACUUAGAGAGACCCAGUCUAAAAAGUAAAAAUACAGGGCCGGGGAUUUAGCUCAGUGGUUCAGGCACCUGCCUCACAAGCGCAAGGUCCUGAGUUCGAUCCCCGGUACCAAAAAAAAAAAAAAAAGUAAAAAUACAAAGGGCAGGGAUGUAGCUCAGUGUGAAGGCCUUGGGUUCAAUCCCCAGUACAGGAGAAGGAAGGAAAGAAGGAAAGAAAGAAGGAAGGAAGGAAAUUCAGCAUCCAAAAUGCUUGGGUAGACUCUCUGUGCUGUCACUUAUAGGCUAUGUGAUUCAGGCCGAUGUAGAUCCUGCUCUGUGCCUACGUUUCCACUGUCCUCAAAGGAGACCCCAAUGGCACCAAGUGGAAAAGGACUGAAGGUCAGUGGACUGAGGAGGCAGUAGAUUUGCUCGCUUACCCGAGCUCCUCAAAUGGGGCACAGACAACCAAGCAAAGUCACUGUUCUGCGGACAAGGGACAGAGAUGGAAGUCGCGCAGGGAGAGAGGAAGGAAGGAGAAACAGGCCCCCCCCCAAAAAGGGACCCGGUGUGAUGGUGCACGCCGUCAUCUCAGUACUCGGGAGGCUGAGGCAGGAGGAUCACCACAAGUUUGAGGCCAGCCUGGGCUCCACAGUGAGUUCAAGGCCAGACAGAACUACAUGGUGAGACCCUGUCUCAAAAAAAAAAAAAAAAGAAAGAGAAAACGCCUGGUUUUUCUACAACAGAUGAAUAACAAAGAUAAAAAUAAAAUAAGAUAAAAAUAAAACUCAAAAGCGGCAGGGGUGACCCAGGUAGCCGAGAGCCUAUCAUGGGCAAAAUCCACCCUUUUUCAAAAAGGGACGCCGGUGAUUCACCUGGCAGCGGCCACUGAGCACAGCGUCCGUGUGACCCAGAAAACCCGCUGGAGCCCGGCUGGGUGGGGUCUGGGAUUCUUUAGGGGCCCUGGAAUCUUGGGGCUCCAGGACGCGGGAGGGGAGGGGAGGGGA
rnacentral:lncRNA from 1 species